AGAUACACUACAGCCGCUUUUCGGGGAAGCGCGUGCACGGAACGAAAAGUCCUCGGAAGGAAUGAGCGCUACGGACCCGCGGGCCGGCAUCUGGAAAGCCAGUGGCAGGGAUCAGGUGCAGGCUGAUUGGUCAGGCGUGGGUCCAAGGUGCACCGGGUAACUAGCACUGCCUGUUUUGGUCCUUGAGCGCUACCCAGUUCGUUUGAGAGCGCUCGCUGCACCCGGAGUCGCAGUACCCUCUCGAAAGUUUUUUCAGAUUUAUAGGUGAAAGAUUAACGAAAUCGAUCAACCAAGGAAAAUUACAUCGCACUUUGGCACGAAAGAGUUGACAAGCAAUUGAGAACCGCCGGCGGGAGGCUUUCCUAGCUGCUUUCUCAGGCAGCCUUGCGACGCGCGCGGAACUGCUGUGGCGGGAAUUAGUUCUUCAUAGAGGGUGUGACGACGACGAACACGCGAGAUGCGGCGUCCUGGAAUCGCGGAUUCCCCGACGACCGAUGUGUUCAUCGUCGAGCGGGCUCCGCCCCAGUGGUAUCCUGUGACGGAGCCAUCCUGUCUCCGUCUGGCGUCUGCGCGAGUCUCAACAUACAUUCACACACACACACACAGACGGACAGAAUCGCAGGAUCAACCGCGCUGUCAUAUCGUACCUGUUCUCUGUGUUCAGUCUGGUGACCAUAUCCCCAUGUCAGACAGACAUGGAACGGGUCCACUUGGCUCACUCGGGUAUACAUGGUUCAUUUCCGGUGCCUCCAGGGUAUCAUCAAGGCCAGCCUGUACUUGCUUCUUCGCGAACGACUUCCUCAUCCUCGCUCUUAACUCCGGCUUUGAAUACGCCUGUCUCGACUUUACCUUCAGCCCCGUCGUCAGCAGUAGAAGGAUGUUGAUGGCAGCGGUAUUGUGCCAAGUGCGCAGCUGCCAGCAGUUGCUGGCGCAUUUCGCGCUCAGCAAAUAGCUGCGAUCUCCGGUUCACUUGCCACGUUCAUCUCCUUUGGAUGCAGCCUCGGUGCGCCAUUCGCAGUGGUGACACUUGCGUGUGGUCAGGACCUUCUAUACGCCCGUUAAACCUCCUGCGCUUCCUCUGAGCGCCGCCCUUUGGCACGUGAACGCCUGCUUCGGCGCUCGGUACACGCCCUUGACUGCUACAGAGGAUUUCCCUCAAUGCCCUCUUGCGUUUGCGAGCCUGGUUCCGUACGCUUCCGUCCGAGGCGUCUCCUGGUCGAUCCGCUCAGCGAGGACUCUCUCCGGUGCACGUGCCAGCGUAUGCGCUUCCAUUCGAUAGGGGGGUUUUGGAACGCGAUUUUGACCAUGACGAAACAAGUUCCAGAGGGAAAAUUCAGGCCGGAGAACAAGUCGAGAAAAACCGAUCUGUCUACGACUCCUUCUCGCAAAGCGGUGACGCAUUCUCUUUUGCAGGCAAUCGCUGCGAUAGCACAAGUCCGAGUCAACCACCUUUUCCAUUUAAAAAGAGAAUACGCGAGCCUCUGGGGGCAUAUCUUUGGCCGGCAUUAAGCUGCUACUGACGAAUGCCGUUUCUUCGACGGCCGCAAACAGAAGAAAUUUUCUCUCUCGAACGGAAUCGAUGAUUUGGCGUGACAAGUUCAGUGAAUAUCGGCAUGAACUUGUGAACAAAUCUUCAAGGAAGGAUGUCGAGUCUGCUCUUCACCGUCAAUCCAGCGUUGCGGAUUUGUGCGCCAGCUAGUUGCCUUUAAACAGAAAACUU